UACGGAAGGGGCAAGCGUUGUUCGGAAUCAUUGGGCGUAAAGGGCGUGUAGGUGGUUCUGUAUGUCUACCGUGAAAGCGUACGGCUCAACCGUAUUUAGUCGGUAGAAACUGCAGGACUUGAGGCUGGGAGGGGCUGGUGGAAUUCCCCGUGUAGCGGUGAAAUGCGUAGAGAUGCGGAGGAACACCGAUGGCGAAGGCAGCCCCCCUGGGCCGACAUUGACGCUCAGGCACGAAAGCGUGGGGAGCAAACAGG
rnacentral:rRNA from 1 species